rnacentral:rRNA from 1 species
AACGAACGCUGGCGGCAUGCCUAACACAUGCAAGUCGAACGAGCCCUUCGGGUUUAGUGGCGCACGGGUGCGUAACGCGUGGGAAUCUGCCCUUGGGUUCGGAAUAACAGUGAGAAAUUACUGCUAAUACCGGAUGAUGUCUUCGGACCAAAGAUUUAUCGCCCAAGGAUGAGCCCGCGUAGGAUUAGCUAGUUGGUGGGGUAAUGGCCUACCAAGGCGACGAUCCUUAGCUGGUCUGAGAGGAUGAUCAGCCACACUGGGACUGAGACACGGCCCAGACUCCUACGGGAGGCAGCAGUGGGGAAUAUUGGACAAUGGGCGAAAGCCUGAUCCAGCAAUGCCGCGUGAGUGAUGAAGGCCUUAGGGUUGUAAAGCUCUUUUACCCGGGAUGAUAAUGACAGUACCGGGAGAAUAAGCUCCGGCUAACUCCGUG